CCCGGAAGCUGUGGCUGUUCCUUUGUUGGGUACAUAGGGGACAGAUGAGCUGGAAAGUGAGGAAAGACAUGUUACUGCUCCCUUGCUUCCAUGGCAACCGGAAUGUAACUGAAAUCCAUGUCUUAGCCAAACAUCGUCUACUCGUCAAAUAAUGAAGGAACAAAAGCCCAUAUACUUUUUGAAAUGCAGACAAGAAGCUCAAUCCUCAGAGACAGCCUCCAUGUCAAAGGUGUUGAACUGAAGUACCCAUUUCUGCUAGGCAUGGUGCCAACAUUUUCCAGACCAUUUAAGGCAUUGCUUAGGGAGUUGAUGUCACUUGAAGAACAAAAGAAUGUGAAUGUCCUCAAGAUGCAUACAGUCUACAGUCCCAAAACCCAGAGGCUGAGCAUGAAGGCUGUCAAGGGUCUCUGACACAUGUGAGUGGGUUGCUUUCUCUGGCAAAAACAAAACAAAACAAACAACAAAAACCACUUGCAGAGGAGAUAAUGUUGAGAACCUUGCGAUGAUGAGGUCAUCCUUGGUGGUCCAUGAGGGCUUACAUCAUCAUGAAGACUUUGGAGGGAUGAUGCAGGAAUGUCAGAGUCAGGGAAAGAAAUGCAAACAGAAGCGGACUACCUAGUGUGAGAGAACGGCUUAUAGAUGGAAGAAAGGCCCUUGAGCAGGGACAGGAAAGAGGCCUAGAAACUGACUAGACAGGAAUGGCUUUCUACAGAGCUUCCUAAAGGCACUGACUUGUCAACAUCUUCAUUUUCCCACAGUCUAAUUGAUUUUGGCUUCCUGAAGAGGCUACAGGUCAAACUCAUGGAACUGAAGCGGCUACUUUCAGAUGAAGGUAAAAGGCCAAGAGGUACACAUAGAACUUGCCUUGACAUCUCUGAGUCACUGGACAGAUGCCUGCAAUUGCCUGCCACUGGAUCUAUCGUCUCAUUAGACAAAUACCUCCACUUCUCUCUGUGCUCACUGCCACACAGCAGAAGACAUUUUGACUCCAGUACAGCUGUCAAUGAGAGUAUGUGGUAGAGUCUAUUGGUCAUUAUGGACAUUCAUGUUACAUGUUAAGUCAAAAAGGCAUGCUGUAACAUAUCUGAACUAUGAUCCUAUACAUUAAUACAUGACUUAUUCACAUAAAAACUAUUUCCAAGGUGAUAUCUUCAGAUAUCAAAAUGUCUACUUUGGGGACAUUGUUUAGCUUCUUUAGUAUUUUUUUUCUGUAGAAAUGAAAAUAAGUCAGUUAUUUAGUGGUUUUUAAACAAGAAAGAAAAAAAGAACAUCCCUGUAUAGUCCCAAUGUGGUCUGUGGACAAGAUGACAGCAGACUCUGCUUAUCUGUAAGUAGGAAGCAAAGGAAAGGUAAGUGGGGGUCUUAUAGUGAUAGUGGGUGUGGUUCAGCCCCUGCAGGCAAAGAUGAGGAAUGUGAACGCCUUUAGUUUACUGGGGGCACAGGAAUGAUAGCAUGAGCUUCCUGACAAGAUUCAGAAGACAACUACCUAUGGUAAAUCAACCAACAGAAUAGGACAUUUAC
rnacentral:lncRNA from 1 species